CCUGGUUGAUCCUGCCAGUGGUCAUAUGCUUGUCUCAAAGAUUAAGCCAUGCAUGUCUAAGCACAAGCUUAAACAAAGUGAAGCCGCGAAUAGCUCAUUACAACAGCCAUUGUUUACUUGAUCUUGAAAUCCUACUUGGAUAACUGUGGUAAUUCUAGAGCUAAUACACGCAAUCAAGCUCCGAACCUUUUGGUGACGAGUGCAUUUAUUAGAACAAAACCAAUCGGACCUCGGUCCGCCAAUUGGUGAAUCUGAAUAACUCAGCAGAUCGCACGGUCUUGUACCGGCGACGCAUCUUUCAAGUGUCUGCCUUAUCAACUGUUGAUGGUAGUUUAUGCGACUACCAUGGUUGUAACGGGUAACGGAGAAUAAGGGUUCGACUCCGGAGAGGGAGCCUGAGAAACGGCUACCACAUCCAAGGAAGGCAGCAGGCGCGUAAAUUACCCACUCUCGGCACGAGGAGGUAGUGACGAAAAAUAACGAGACGGUUCUCAUUGAGGCCCGUUAUCGGAAUGAGUACAAUCCAAACCCUUUAACGAGGAUCUAUCAGAGGGCAAGUCUGGUGCCAGCAGCCGCGGUAAUUCCAGCUCUGAAGGUGUAUACCACCGUUGUUGCGGUUAAAACGCUCGUAGUUGGAUCUACGUUCGUGGGGUCGGUGUUCUCGUUUGAGUUCUACUGACUACCUGAACUGAAACAGCUGGUUUUCCCUUGGUGCUCUUUAUUGGGUGCCCUGGGUGGCUAGCAAGUUUACUUUGAAAAAAUUAGAGUGCUCAAAACAGGCGUAUGCCUGAAUAGUGGUGCAUGGAAUAAUGGAAUAGGAUCUUGGUCCUAUUUUGUUGGUUUUCGGGAGCCAAGAUAAUGAUUAAGAGGGACAGACGGGGGCAUUCGUAUUGCAGCGUUAGAGGUGAAAUUCUUGGAUCGUUGCAAGACGAACAACUGCGAAAGCAUUUGCCAAGAAUGUUUUCAUUAAUCAAGAACGAAAGUUAGAGGUUCGAAGGCGAUCAGAUACCGCCCUAGUUCUAACCGUAAACGAUGCCAACUCGCGAUCUAGUGGUGUUAUUUAUGACCCGCUAGGGAGCGUCCCGGAAACGAAAGUUUUUCGGUUCCGGGGGAAGUAUGGUUGCAAAUCUGAAACUUAAAGGAAUUGACGGAGGGGCACCACCAGGAGUGGAGCCUGCGGCUUAAUUUGACCCAACACGGGAAAACUCACCCGGCCCGGACACCGUAAGGAUUGACAGAUUGAGAGCUCUUUCUUGAUUCGGUGGGUGGUGGUGCAUGGCCGUUCUUAGUUGGUGGAGCGAUUUGUCUGGUUAAUUCCGAUAACGAACGAGACUCUAUCCUACUAAAUAGCAA
rnacentral:rRNA from 1 species